rnacentral:rRNA from 1 species
GACGAACGCUGGCGGCGUGCUUAACACAUGCAAGUCGAACGGAAAGGCCCUGCUUUUGUGGGGUGCUCGAGUGGCGAACGGGUGAGUAACACGUGAGUAACCUGCCCUUGACUUUGGGAUAACUUCAGGAAACUGGGGCUAAUACCGGAUAGGAGCUACUGCUGCAUGGUGGGGGUUGGAAAGUUUCGGCGGUUGGGGAUGGACUCGCGGCUUAUCAGCUUGUUGGUGGGGUAGUGGCUUACCAAGGCUUUGACGGGUAGCCGGCCUGAGAGGGUGACCGGCCACAUUGGGACUGGGAUACGGCCCAGACUCCUACGGGAGGCAGCAGUGGGGAAUAUUGCACAAUGGGCGGAAGCCUGAUGCAGCAACGCCGCGUGCGGGAUGACGGCCUUCGGGUUGUAAACCGCUUUCGCCUGUGACGAAGCGUGAGUGACGGUAAUGGGUAAAGAAGCACCGGCUAACUACGUG